CACCGGGCUGGAAAAGGAAGAGCUGGGUGUAGUGGCUGUGAGAACUCAUCUCCUGAGCUGCACGUGAUGCCCCUGAAAGGCUGAAUGAGCUUGAAGCAGCUGUUUGGUAAAGCUGUUCUCCCCUGAGGGCACACUCAGUGGGGUGGCUCUGGCAAUUAGGGGCUGGACCUUAUUAUCAGCAUCUCAGCAGGGAGUGGGUCUUCCUCUGAAGAGGAGACUUGGCUUUGAUAGUAUGGUCUCCAGUAUUCUUCCUCUGUCAGGUAGCAGUUUGUCAAGAGCUGCUUUCUUAAAUAGCUUUAUCUCUAUCACAGUAUUAUAUGUGAUAGAUUCACACUCUAAUAUAUCACAUUCAUUAUAUGUGAUCUAUUAUAAUAUGAUAGUAUUAUCAUUGUUUUAAAUACUUGUACAGAAAGGCAGAUUAUUUUCUAAAAGCCAGAAUCUGACACCAAGUUUAUGAAAAGAUGUAGUCAAAAGCUUGUGAGAUACUAGACAUCUGGCACUGAUUAAGAAAUGUUAUUUGGAGCUACUAAAGGUAAUUGGUGAUAGAAGUAAUCUUUAUUCCAGUUUUCCAAAUGAGGUAACUGAGGCAUGGAAAAAUUAAGUGCCUUGUUCAGGGCUGUAUGGAACAGUCUUGGCCAUGGCUAGGAGCAGCUUACUAACCUCCAGUCCCAAGCCUUUUAGCUGUGUGUGUUCACUACUUUAUCCUGAUAAAAACUCAACCUCCAUUGCCGACGAGAAAACUCUGUGAGAGCAACUUCAGGAGGUUUCUUGUAAGCAGCAAAUUAAUGAAUACUGCUUUUCCAGUGGAUUUGCAUCCUGAAAGCUCAAAUUCUCAUCCUUAGCAGACUCCCAUGAUAGCAACACCUUCCUUCACAGCUCCCCCCAACACCUGCUUGUACCCCUGACCCAGCCACAGCCCCAGCAUCUCUGCUACUGUGGGAGAGCUGCUGGUGAUGACCAUCCUCUUGGGGAAGGAGGUGACUUUGUGUCGCUCUUAUUUACACAGUAGCUGACCUUCAUGGAGAGCCUGUAAGGUCAGCAGUGCCCUUUCAAGUCCUGCUCUGAAAUGCAGUUGGACAGGUUCAGCAGCCACUGGGAGAUCACAGUUUUCCCAGGGAACCAAGCUAAAGCUUGAGCUAAAGCACCUGCCACUGUCCAGAGCUGUGGGAAGCACUGUGGAUUUUCCUGGCAAGCUGGCAAGGGGGAUAUUUUGGAAAUAAUCAUGGAAACACAGAAUGCCUUGGUUGGAAGAUACUUUUCAGAUCAUCUAGUUCCAGCCCCACUGCCAUGGGCAAGGACACCUUUCACUAGACCAGGAAAUCUCAGCAAGGAUUACCAUGCUGCUUUGUGGGUGUUCCUCAGCAGCUUGCCAUCUCCCCAGUGAGCAUGUCCCUGCUGGAGGCCACAAAGCCAUGACUACCCUCAGCCACAGGCUAGUAGCCAUGGGAUCAAGUGCCAUCUUACCCUGGUACAGAACCUUGGGCAAGCUUCUCCCCACCCUAUGGUUUACCUCUCAGACUGAAGAACACUGGCAACAAGGAUUUAAUAAAAGUAAUUAAAAAGCUGUUAAUUA